rnacentral:rRNA from 1 species
GCAAGUCGCACGGGCAGCAAUGUCAGUGGCGGACGGGUGAGUAACGCGUAGGAACGUGUCCUGAGGUGGGGGACAACCCCGGGAAACUGGGGCUAAUACCGCAUAUGGGCUGAGGCCCAAAGCCGAGAGGCGCCUUUGGAGCGGCCUGCGUCCGAUUAGGUAGUUGGUGGGGUAAAGGCCUACCAAGCCUGCGAUCGGUAGCUGGUCUGAGAGGACGACCAGCCACACUGGGACUGAGACACGGCCCAGACUCCUACGGGAGGCAGCAGUGGGGAAUAUUGGACAAUGGGCGAAAGCCUGAUCCAGCAAUGCCGCGUGGGUGAAGAAGGUCUUCGGAUCGUAAAGCCCUUUCGACGGGGACGAUGAUGACGGUACCCGUAGAAGAAGCCCCGGCUAACUUCGUGCCAGCAGCCGCGGUAAUACGAAGGGGGCUAGCGUUGCUCGGACUAACUGGGCGUAAAGCGGGAUCCCGA